CCUACGGGAGGCAGCAGUGGGGAAUCUUGCGCAAUGGGCGAAAGCCUGACGCAGCGACGCCGCGUGAGGGAAGAAGGCCUUCGGGUUGUAAACCUCUUUCAGCAGGGACGAAGCUACUCGGGUUAACAGCCCAGAGGGUGACGGUACCUGUAGAAGAAGCCCCGGCUAACUACGUGCCAGCAGCCGCGGUAAUACGUAGGGGGCAAGCGUUGUCCGGAUUUACUGGGCGUAAAGAGCGUGUAGGCGGCCAAGCAGGUCUGUUGUGAAAACUGGAGGCUCAACCUCCAGACGUCGACAGAAACCGCUUGGCUAGAGUCCGGAAGAGGAGAGUGGAAUUCCUGGUGUAGCGGUGAAAUGCGCAGAUAUCAGGAAGAACACCAAUGGCGAAGGCAGCUCUCUGGGACGGUACUGACGCUGAGACGCGAAAGCGUGGGGAGCGAACAGGAUUAGAUACCCUGGUAGUCCACGCCGUAAACGAUGGGUGCUAGGUGUGGGGGGUGUCGACUCCCUCCGUGCCGCAGCUAACGCAUUAAGCACCCCGCCUGGGGAGUACGGCCGCAAGGCUAAAACUCAAAGGAAUUGACGG
rnacentral:rRNA from 1 species